rnacentral:rRNA from 1 species
UACGUAGGGUGCAAGCAUUAAUCGGAAUUAUUGGGCGUAAAGGGCGCGUAGGCGGACAAGUAAGUCAGAUGUGAAAUCCUGGGGCUCAACCCCGGAACAGCAUUUGAAACUGCUCGUCUAGAGGAUAGUCGGAGAAAACGGAAUUCCACAAGUAGCGGUGAAAUGCGUAGAUAUGUGGAAGAACACCUGUGGCGAAAGCGGUUUUCUAGCUUAGACCUGACGCUGAAGCGCGAAAGCAAGGGGAUCAAACAGG